AAUUUUAAUAGAUUUUGAGGGUAAAAGUAAACCAAAUUUAAAUGUUUUAUGAAGUAUUCAUAUUCUGCAGGCUUUUAUACAGACUGGCAAAAUGACAAAGUUUUAUUAACAUCAGUGUAAUGCAGUUGUUCCUCAAUCCACAAAAAUUGAUACCCAAGAAUAUUAAUGAUCCAUUUGAUAUGAAAAAUGUGAAGACUUACUACAACAAAAUAUAAAUCAAUUCAUUUGUAAUUUUUAACAUGUGUGUUACAUGGUAAGUACUGACUGUCAUUCAUUGGUUGAGUUCUUAUUUAAUGAUAUUUAUGGAAAGCAUUUUAGUAAUGUAAGAUUUAAACUUUUUCCCCACAUUUUCUUUUAUUUGUGUAUUGAUCUGCCUUGACUUUUAUUCAGGGAAUUUCAAAAUUGAUAUUAACAUAUAAAAGUCCAAGUUAAAAUUCCCUCUCUUCCUUAACUUUUAUUCAGGGAAUUUUAACUUUGUCUUCUUUCUGUUAAUAUCAUUUUUUAAGCAUUCCACUUUAAAAUUACAUGUAUUUCUGCAAUAUGAAUUAUUUUUGAAUGUAUAUGUAUGUUUAUAUAAUGAUGCAAUAGCCUUUCAACUGUGAUAAUUAUUGUCUAGUUUUGUCAUGUGACAUUUAUCAGAGUAUGUAUUUAAUGAAAUGGUGGAUGCAUUAUUACAGAUAUUCUUUGGAUACUAAUUUUUGUAGAUUUCGUGGUUACAGGUGAAACAAGAAAUUUUAUGUUCAACAAAUGACAAAUUUUUAAUCGGCUUGUUUGCAGACCUCACCAAAACAACAAAAUGAAAUAUCCACGAAUAUACAAGUUUUCUUUUAUCCACGAAAAUUGGUAUCGACGAAAAAAAUGAAUCCUCAGUAUGUGUCAGAUAUUGUAACUGUUUAAACUAAUACUGUAAUAGUAGGAAAAAAAAUAGUCGAAAAAGCAUUUAAGUGCUGCAAAUUAUGAAAUUAAUUUGAUGCUAUAAUUGCAAAGCAAUGUAAUGGCAUGC
rnacentral:lncRNA from 1 species